rnacentral:rRNA from 1 species
GUGAACGCUGGCGGUAGGCCUAACACAUGCAAGUCGAACGGCAGCACAGUAAGAGCUUGCUCUUACGGGUGGCGAGUGGCGGACGGGUGAGGAAUACAUCGGAAUCUACUUUUUCGUGGGGGAUAACGUAGGGAAACUUACGCUAAUACCGCAUACGACCUACGGGUGAAAGCAGGGGAUCUUCGGACCUUGCACGAUUGAAUGAGCCGAUGUCGGAUUAGCUAGUUGGCGGGGUAAAGGCCCACCAAGGCGACGAUCCGUAGCUGGUCUGAGAGGAUGAUCAGCCACACUGGAACUGAGACACGGUCCAGACUCCUACGGGAGGCAGCAGUGGGGAAUAUUGGACAAUGGGCGCAAGCCUGAUCCAGCCAUACCGCGUGGGUGAAGAAGGCCUUCGGGUUGUAAAGCCCUUUUGUUGGGAAAGAAAAGCAGCAGGUUAAUACCCCGCUGUUCUGACGGUACCCAAAGAAUAAGCACCGGCUAACUUCGUG